rnacentral:sRNA from 1 species
UUUUUUUCUUGUUUUGUGUUGUUU